AAACCCGGCGCGGCCAUGGCCGCCUCUGCUCCCCUUCGCCUCCUCUCCCCCUCCAGCUCGCCACGGCCGGCCCAAGACCCGAGCCCCAGGCCCGUGCGUCCCCUCCACGCGUGGCUUCCCCGCCGCCGACGCCAGCUUCCCGCCGUUUGCUGCGCGUCCUUGCCACCGCCGCCGUCGCUCGACCUCCCGCUACUCCCGUUCCAGCCCGCGGAGGUGUUGAUACCAUCUGAAUCCAAGACUCUACACUUGUAUGAAGCAAGAUAUAUAGCAUUGCUAGAGGAGGCCUUGUACAAGAGGAAAAGUUCUUUUGUUCACUUUGUGCUUGAUCCAGUUGUAGAUAGCUCUACUAAAGCUUCAUUUGCUGUAAGAUAUGGCUGCUUGGUGCAGAUAGAAAGUUGUAGGUUCAAAAGCUGGAGAUUGGAGCACUGAUAUCAAUUAGAGGAGUGUGUCGUGUAAACAUUUCAAAUCUUUUAGAUAUGGAGCCCUAUUUCCGUGGUACUGUUUCCCCAUUGAUGGAUGAUCCUUCUGAAGGUAUUGAAAUAGGGACAAAAAUUUCCAAGCUAAGAGAAUCUAUGUGCAAUUUACACAGCCUACAAAUGAAGUUGAAGGUACCUGAGGAUGAACCACUGCAAACUAACAUCAGGGCGUCUCUAUUAUGGUCUGAGAAAGAAAUUUUUGAAGAGUAUAAUGAAUCUUUUAUCCCUGGUCUUCCAGAACGUCUCUCAUUUGCUGCAUACCAAACAGUUUCAGGUGAUGUUUCACUCCCUUUUCCACAGUUUAUUUCAAAAUAUUCAGGUCGUCAUAUUGAUUAAAAUUUUACUAUUCAUCUAUAUGUUCUCCGAGAAAUGCACGUCUUCCAUCCAACGACGAACCAAAGAGAUGAUGAACACAUACAUCAACCGUCAUUAGACCUGAUACAUGAUGCAUACAUAUCUGACAUUGAAAUGUAAAAUUCAGCCAUGUUGACACCAAAGAGGCGGAUGGUGCGAGAUCCGUGGUUGCUAGGCACCAUCUCCAGUGGUGGAUUCUCCUCUUGAUUCUGUGAGGGAAAUGCGGGAGAGGCAUCGGAGCCGAAGAGAUAGAUGGAGCUUCGCUCAAUGUUGCCAGCUGGCGCCACCGCUACCCCUUCUGGUCCGCGGUUGACAGGUACUGUCUCUGGUGGAUUCUGUGAGGGGAAUGGAGGGGAGAUGUUGAAGCUGUAGAGAUGCUCACCAUUGCCAGGCACCACUGCUACUUCUGGUGGAUUCUCCUCUUGAUUCUGCGAGGGGAAUGCAGGAAAGGUGUGGACGCCGAAGAUACGGAAGGUGCGGCCUCCACGGUUGCCAGGCGCCCCAGAUAUCUGUGCAGGAAGUACGCUGCUGGUAAUUGCAGGGAGUGACGAUGAGCCAGUGGCAGGUGUAGGAGCUGAGACAGGACCAACCACAGGAUUGCCGGCCAUUGCCAUCCCUUGGGGAGGAUCGUGCACUGGACUCAUCAGCGCUGGAAGUGCAAGGAUGGCACUUCUGGCAGAAGCAGGAAAUGACCAGCCGCGCAUGGCGCCUGCAGAGCCAUGGACGGCCUCAGGGUUGAUGUUCAUCGCAAUCGCCUCCGAAGGCUCCUCAUCAGCAGCUGCAGCUGCAGGGCGACGGGCGGACGAGCUGCCGGCAUCGCUGGCCACACCGAUCAUCAGGCCAGCAUAGUGCAGCUUCAUGUGCCAGCCGAGCGCCUGCCCGGUCGGUAACACCUUGUUGCACGCCAUGCACACAUGGCGACUGCUCUGGCACGCCAAGUUGCUCUGAAGGUCCGGCGUCGCCUUGCUCUUCUUGUGCUUGUGACCGGCGACGUGGCCUUCCAGACCCUGGGGCGUGGGGAAUGUCUCGCCACAGUCGUCACAACUGUAACCUGUGUUGCCCAAGCCUCUCUUGCUCUGACCUCCAAUGGUGAUAGCUUUGCCGUGGCCGUAACCGCCACUGCUGUAACCUGCAGCGGCUUUGCCGUGGCUGACACUUCUGUAGCCAGCAACAGCUUUGCCAUCGCCGCCAUUGCUGCUGUAGCGAGCACCGGCUUCUUGAAGGUCGUUCCCCUUCACGGUAUCAGCUGCAAUUGGAGCGACCACUCCUGCGGCAGCAGCGGGAGGAGCUGUUGCGAUAGUCACAGACGUCGUCGCUGCCCCUGCAGGACCUGGUGGUUCCAUGGUCAUCACAGAUGCCGUGGCAUCAAGUCCUGGCGCAGUUGCCACGGCAGCAGCAGCAGGAGGAGGAGUUGCUGCCAUUGGCUGAACAGCCUCCGCAUCUGAUCCCGUGCUUGCAACUGCACCAAUCCCAGUGACGGCGAUGGUAGGAUUGGGCUUGUCAUCGUUACUGCUGUCAGCGUCUAGCACUAUAACCUCAAUGGCAGCUGCAGGAGCUCGUGCCACUGGUAGAACUGCCGCCGGAUCAGGAGCUGAGCUUGCAAUUGCAACCGCACCAAACCCAGUGACGGCAGCUACAGGAUUGGCGUUGCCGUCGUCACUGGUGUCGUCCUCUAUGACUAUAACGUCGUUGCAAGCAGCGGCAGGAGACUGAGAGACGGUUACCUUAGGCUUCUCGCCAAGCACGUCGCCCACCUGGUGGCUCCGUGAAGUGGCAGCCCGGGCCAACGGAAAUGGCAAAGGGGGAUCGUCGUGGUGAGGCUCUGUCUUCACGGUUGCUUGUUUUGGCUUGGGCUUCUUCCUUGACUUCUUUGGCGUGGGCGCCUCGGAGGAGGACGACGACGAGGGGGAUGGGGAGGAGCAACCUUGCCGGUGCACCGAUCUCAUGUGCCCUCGCAGCGUCUUCUCCCGGCCAAACUUCAGGGGACAAGCGGAGCACUUAAACGGCUCUGCAGCAACAACACCAAGACCAAUUUUCUCGGCAUCUCGAAGGAGGCCAUAUGCCUCGCGAGAAAGCAGCGGCGGCGAACCGCGUUGCGAGAUGGUUGCCGCCUCCUUCCCAGCACCGCUCGCCAAAGAUCCAGAAGGAAGCUCUAUCUCCCUACUUCCAGAAGCUCCACCCUCAUGGCGGCGGCCAUAUUGGGGGAGCCUUUGGUGCAGCAGCCGUGGCGAUUUAGAUCUAUGGCUCCGGACAGCUGCAGCUUUCUCGCAACCUCCUACAGCGGCGCUCUCGCCUUGGCUGCGCAGCUUCAUGGUGCGGAGAGGGAUGCGAACAAGUAACAGGCGAUCGCUGUACUCACUCUUUGGUGGCAGUGGUGGCGGUGGCGGCGGCGGCGGCAGUGGUGGCGGCGGGCAAUUUCUUGUUUGAUGCCAUAAAUGGUAGGUGGGGGAAGGGGGAUUAGGGUUCAGUCAGGGGAUUUUUUACCGUUGUGAAAUAUUGUGCGGAGAGACAUCUAUUUAUAAGCAUUAAGCGGGAUGGGUCACCUCAAUUGCCCGAGUUGUAAAGUUAGAAUUGGUUACCUUAUUUUUCAAAAAUGCAUUUUCUGUUUCAUAGAA